AAUUACACAGAAAUACACUUCGAUUUAACAGAACCCUACCAGGUCAGCUUGGGAGACAGAAAAUAAGUUGCCUUAAAUGUAAAUAGGUGUAAUUACGUUUUUAUUCCUAAAUUCUAACCGAUUUUCUAAAAUUCAAGCGUCCCUUUCGUCCUGCAGACCUCACUGUGGUUGCUAAAUAAUUAUGCCCGGACAGAAAAAAUAAAAACAAAACAAAAAAAAAAAAACCAAACAAACAAAUGAGGAAAUAGAGGUAAACUGAGGUGCACCGAUAGCAAGGGUCCAGACACCUGCCAUGACCCCACCCUCAUUCCAAUGUGCAGGGGUGAGGCCUGGAGCGAAGCAAUGCCUGGUCCCAGCUCACUGGCCCUUAGAGAUGACCACAGAUCCAGGGACUCCGCCCGGCGGCCAAGGGCAGCGGCCUGGUCAGGCGCUGCGGGCGCAGUACUCGGGAAGAAGCCAGGCUCUCUCAGAGAGAGACAGGAGAACAUUUUUACCAUCUUCCUGCAGUGGGACUUAGACAAAGGAAUAACGAACUGCAGAGCUGAGUGAAGCCCUGCACCUCCAGCUGAAGUUCAAGCCCAAGUGAGUCUAACAUCUCAAUUACAAGACACGGAGAAAGCAUGCCAGCCAGCCAAAACCGCCUGAAACCGAGGGAAGUCAUGAGAAAAACAGCUGCCUAACAAUUCCAGAAGACACAGAAUCACGUGAGGAGCCUCGGAUGCAAAGUGGACCAUCAUCUCCUAACUAGGGGCAAAAAGCAGGCUCAGUUCCAUUGACAUAACACGCACUGGGCAAGAAUAGAGCUGGCAAAUAAAUGAAAAUGCUCUCUAAGAAGUUGGAAUAUUUCACAAAGGAAAGCUCAACAGACCACUGUGGCAGGACAUAGCAGGAAGUCAGAGCUACAGGAACCACUCUGCAGGAACCACUGUGAUCC
rnacentral:sRNA from 1 species